UCUGGAGCAGUCUUGGNAUCNGUUUGGANAGACUCUUUUCCUUAGGUACUUUUAUGGGUACUGCAUUCUUGUUUUCAUGUUUACAAUAAAAAAAAAGGGAAAAGAGAAAAAGGAAGCUGGGAUGUCUCGGUUUCUUUGUCGAAAAAAAAAGCCUGACUCAGGCUGCUUAUUCGACUUGGAGAGCAAGAGACGAUUCGUCUUAUCCCGGCGGCAGUUGACGAGACAGUCCUAUAGCUCAGUUGGUUAGAGCGCUACACUGAUAAUGUAGAGGUCGGCAGUUCAACUCUGCCUGGGACUACAGGAAAGUGAACAAUGAAAAGUGAAUAAUGAAGAAUGGCAUCAUUUUUAAUUGUUAACUAUUCAUUAUUCACUCAAAAGACGGGGGAUUAGCUCAGCUGGCUAGAGCACCUGCUUUGCAAGCAGGGGGUCAACGGUUCGAAUCCGUUAUUCUCCACGAGUUUCGCAGUCUGCCCGAAGCGUUUAUGAAAGAGGAGUUCUCUUGAACGACGAAGAAGGCGGAAACAAAAAAAGCGAAAAGAAGAGUUCUUUGACAUGAUGGACAAAACAGAGAAAAGAUUUCGUAUGUCGAAUGAUGUAUGCAAAUAGAUCAAUUGCACAUAUGAAUGAAACUUGAAGCGAAUUUUAAGAAAAGCGUAGAAAGAGCUAAAGAUAAAGAAGCCCACAGUAUCAUGUAAGGAUUGUAUAAUUGUAUAUGAAAACUGUGAGGUAAGGAUAAAAAA
rnacentral:tRNA from 1 species